UACGUAGGGUGCAAGCGUUGUCCGGAAUUAUUGGGCGUAAAGAGCUCGUAGGCGGUUUGUCGCGUCGAAUGUGAAAACCCGGGGCUCAACCCCGGGCCUGCAUUCGAUACGGGCAGACUAGAGUUCGGUAGGGGAGUCUGGAAUUCCUGGUGUAGCGGUGAAAUGCGCAGAUAUCAGGAGGAACACCAGUGGCGAAGGCGCCACUCUGGGCCGUAACUGACGCUGAGGAGCGAAAGCGUGGGUAGCAAACAGG
rnacentral:rRNA from 1 species